rnacentral:rRNA from 1 species
UACGAGGGGUGCAAGCGUUGCUCGGAAUUAUUGGGCGUAAAGGGUUGGUAGGUGGUCUUAUUUGUCUGGGGUGAAAGCCUUGGGCUUAACUCAAGAAGUGCCCCAGAAACGGUAAGACUAGAGUCUCGGAGAGGGUCGUGGAAUUCCCGGUGUAGCGGUGAAGUGCGUAGAGAUCGGGAGGAACACCAGCGGCGAAGGCGGCGACCUGGACGAGCACUGACACUCAACAACGAAAGCGUGGGGAGCAAACAGG